AUUGAACGCUGGCGGCAUGCUUUACACAUGCAAGUCGGACGAGUGGCGAACGGGUGAGUAAUAUAUUGGAACGUACCGAGUAAUGGGGGAUACCCAAUCAAAAGAUUGCCAAAUCCGCAAAAUUAUUCGGGCGGCAAAUAUCUGUUUAGCUAGUUGUGGGGGUAAAGGCUUACCAAGGCGACGAUCAGUAGCGGGUCUGAGAGGAUGAUCCGCCACACUGGGACUGAGACACGGCCCAGACUCCUACGGGAGGCAGCAGUGGGGAAUUUUGGACAAUGGGCGAAAGCCUGAUCCAGCCAUGCCGCGUGUCUGAAGAAGGCCUUCGGGUUGUAAAGGACUUUUGUUAGGGAAGCGGUACCUAAAGAAUAAGCACCGGCUAACUACGUGCCAGCAGCCGCGGUAAUAC
rnacentral:rRNA from 1 species